ACUUGAUAAUUGAUCUGACUUUUACGAUCUUAGUCUAAUGUGAAAGAGGGGUGGAUUUAUUGUGCUGGGGCGGCAAGAAUAUAAAUUAAUAACUGUUCUUGUUUAUAAAAUAGAAAUUUCUAGAUGUUGACCCUGAAUGUUUAGGUUAUAAGAUUAAGUU
rnacentral:rRNA from 1 species